UGAAUACGAGAUGCUACGGCGUCGAAGCAGUGUAUGACAGACUUCCAAGAAAAGCUCGCAAUGUCAUAAAUAAAGAAUGCCUGUACCAUAACCGACACAGGUGGGUAGGUAGAGUAUACUAAGGGGCGCGAGAUAACUCUCUCUAAGGAACUCGGCAAAAUAACUCCGUAACUUCGGGAGAAGGAGUGCCUUCUUUAAGAAGGUUGCAAUAACAAGAUCCAAGCAACUGUUUAUCAAAAACACAGGUCUCCGCUAAGUCGUAAGACGAUGUAUGGGGGCUGACGCCUGCCCAGUGCCAGAAGGUUAAAGAAGCUGGUUAGCAAUAGCGAAGCUGGUGACUGAAGCCCUGGUGAACGGCGGCCGUAACAAUAACGGUCCUAAGGUAGCGAAAUUCCUUGUCGGGUAAGUUCCGACCCGCACGAAAGGCGUAAUGAUUUGGAUACUGUCUCGGAGAGGGACUCGGUGAAAUAGACUUGUCUGUGAAGAUGCGGACUACCUGCACCAGGACAGAAAGACCCUAUGAAGCUUUACUGUAACCUGAAAUUGAAAUUGGACUUUAUUUGCGCAGUAUAGGUGGGAGGCGUUGAAAGUAAUCUUGCGGGAUUAGUGGAGCCAUCAGUGAGAUACCACUCCUAUAAUGUUAGAUUUCUAACUUUGGAUCAUGAUCUGGUCAAAGAACAGUUUCAGGCGGGCAGUUUGACUGGGGCGGUCGCCUCCCAAAUGGUAACGGAGGCGUACAAAGGUUUCCUCUGAACGGGUAGAAAUCGUAUCUAGAGUGUAAAGGCAUAAGGAAGCUUGACUGUGAGACCUACAAGUCGAGCAGGGACGAAAGUCGGUCUUAGUGAUCUGACGGUGCUGAGUGGAAAGGCCGUCACUCAACGGAUAAAAGUUACUCUAAGGAUAACAGGCUGAUCUCCCCCAAGAGUUCACAUCGACGGGGAGGUUUGGCACCUCGAUGUCGGCUCAUCGCAUCCUGGGGCGGUAGUACGUCCCAAGGGUUGGGCUGUUCGCCCAUGAAAGCGGUACGCGAGCUGGGUUCAGAACGUCGUGAGACAGUUCGGUCCAUAUCCGGUGUAGGCGUUAGAAUAUUGAGAGGAGCCUUCUCUAGUACGAGAGGACCGAGAAGGACAUACCUCUGGUGUACCAGUUAUCGUGCCAACGGUAAACGCUGGGUAGCUAUGUAUGGAGAGGAUAACCGCUGAAAGCAUCUAAGUGGGAAGCCCACCUCAAGAUGAGUAUUCUCAUCAA
rnacentral:rRNA from 1 species